UCAAACAACUGUCAGGUCUAAAAUGGGUGCCAAGGUUACAACUACACUGAGAAGGAGUCUGGCUUCCAAACAAGGACAAGUCUCCCCAGAUCGCCCUGAACAGGAAUGCAGGAUUCUCCUUACAUCCAGGUUAUCAUUGAAACUAGCAAGACUUCAUUCUUAUGAACCAUGAACCAGAAGAACACAGAGCAAGAGGAGGAGAGAAGCCAUCCCACUCAGACUUUUGUCCCUGUGAAACGCAUGCUGGGAGGAUAUAACAUAAAAGAUGUGACCUCCUUGUCUCCGUUCAGACAGGAUCCUAAUGGAACAUGACACAGUAAUUCUCUGUACUGUAUGGACAAGCAGUAAUGCUGGCCUUCGGUAUGACGGAAGAACCCACCUCACACUGUGAAUUUGCGAAAGGCAAAGAGCGGGGAGUCAAGAACCUGAAUAUCAUCCUUCUGCUCCCAGGGCCCUUGGAAACUGCUCGGUAUAGAAAAAAUAUUUUGGGUUUCUCAAACUGAAGCUUUCUGAAUAAAUGUGUCUGCAAAUUUGGGGUCCUGAGCUCAUAGAAAACCUUGAUUUCUGUGGGCAGUUUCUAAUCUUGACCAUGAAUAUUUCUGCUGAAAUUCUCAGCUCAGGAUCUGCCACAAUAGGAGAAAGCAAAAGGGACCUCGCAGUAUGCUGGCAUCUUGACCUUCGACUUCCCGGCCUCCAGAACUGUAAGAAAAUAAAUGAAUUCUCUUAUUAAAUUACACAGUCUUAGGUACUCUAUUAUAUCAGCACAAACAAGACAUGGAAAUGGUGACGACUAGAAGAGUGAAAGCUCGGCAACAGAAGAGCUUCUUCUAGUUCACAGGUCACACAAAAACAGGUGGAAGACCAGACUUGGCCCACAGGUGGUAAUUUGUAGGCCUACGCGGUGAACCAGCAAUAGACUGUACAACACACAGCAGGGCCGAAAGGCUCUCCAAGACCAGGACUAUGUAUAAUGAAGUACCAAUACCCACUUGGUUCAACAAAUUAACUAGCAGAAUGAGUACAUCCAAGUGGGCUGUAUCUUCAUCUUCCAUCACUGUAUCUCAAUUGCCUGGCACAGUGAAUACAGUAUGGAGGAAAAGUGGAGGACCAGCAUUACUAAUGAAUCUGGGCUUCUAAGGAUAACUAUUGAUCUAUUCAGUGACAAUUCAUCAUAAGUGUAGUAAACUUUAAGCUAGAAGUUGAUUGGACUACAAUUUUACUUUCUGGCAUAGUGAAGAUACUGAGAAAGUGAAAGUCCUUUCGAUUCUCCUGUUGUUUGUGCACCAACCAGAAGUGAGCACGCGUCCUGGACCCCAGUUAUAUAGGUUACAGGACUGGACUUGACGGUCUAAGAUUGAGCAUGUGGAUGUCUUCUGCUUUCCCGUCCUUGUCUGAAGUUGUAGA